AGAUUGAACGCUGGCGGCAUGCCUAACACAUGCAAGUCGAACGGGAGUAGCAAUACUCUAGUGGCGGACGGGUGAGGAAUACGUAGGAAUUUGCCCUUAAGUGGGGGAUAACCCGGGGAAACCCGGAUUAAUACCGCAUGACCUCGAAAGAGCAAAGUGGGGGAUCGCGAGACCUCACGCUUUUGGAGAAGCCUACGUCGGAUUAGCUAGUUGGUGAGGUAAUGGCUCACCAAGGCGACGAUCCGUAACUGGUCUGAGAGGAUGAUCAGUCACACCGGAACUGAGACACGGUCCGACUCCUACGGGAGGCAGCAGUGGGGAAUAUUGGACAAGUGGGCGCAAGGCCUGAUCCAGCAAUGCCGCGUGUGUGAAGAAGGCCUUCGGUUGUAAGGCUACGUUUAAGUUAGGGUAAGAAAAAACUACGACUACUAACCACAGUAGAGUUCUUAGACGUACCGACGAGAAUAAGACACCGGACAACUUCUGUCGACCAGCACGCCGACGGUAACUCGUAGAGCGGCGU
rnacentral:rRNA from 1 species